rnacentral:rRNA from 1 species
UACGGAGGGUGCAAGCGUUGUCCGGAUUUAUUGGGUUUAAAGGGUGCGUAGGCGGCCUAAUAAGUCAGUGGUGAAAGCCUCCAGCUUAACUGGAGAACUGCCAUUGAUAUUGUUAGGCUUGAGUAUACUUGAGGUAGGCGGAAUUGACAGUGUAGCGGUGAAAUGCAUAGAUAUUGUCAAGAACACCAAUUGCGAAGGCAGCUUACUAAAUUAUAACUGACGCUGAGGCACGAAAGUGUGGGUAUCAAACAGG